rnacentral:rRNA from 1 species
UACGUAGGGGGCGAGCGUUGUCCGGAAUCAUUGGGCGUAAAGAGCGUGUAGGUGGCUUGGAAAGUCUUACGUGAAAGCCUGCGGCUCAACCCGCAGAAGUGCGUGGGAAACUCCUCGCUAGAGUCCGGAAGAGGAGAGCGGGAAUCCUGGUGUAGCGGCGGAAUGCGCAGAUAUCAGGAGGGAAACACCCCGUGGCGAAGGCGGGCUCUCUGGGACGGGUACUGACACUGAGACGCGAAAAGCGUGGGGAGCGAACAGGAUUUUAGAU